rnacentral:rRNA from 1 species
UGCAAGUCGAGCGGAAAGGCCCUUCGGGGUACUCGAGCGGCGAACGGGUGAGUAACACGUGAGUAACCUGCCCCUGACUCUGGGAUAAGCCCGGGAAACUGGGUCUAAUACCGGAUACGACCAUUCCAGGCAUCUGGUGGUGGUGGAAAGUUUUUUUCGGUUGGGGGAUGGACUCGCGGCCUAUCAGCUUGUUGGUGGGGUAGUGGCCUACCAAGGCGACGACGGGUAGCCGGCCUGAGAGGGCGACCGGCCACACUGGGACUGAGACACGGCCCAGACUCCUACGGGAGGCAGCAGUGGGGAAUAUUGCGCAAUGGGCGAAAGCCUGACGCAGCGACGCCGCGUGGGGGAUGACGGCCUUCGGGUUGUAAACCUCUUUCAGCAGGGACGAAGUUGACGUGUACCUGCAGAAGAAGCGCCGGCUAACUACGUGCCAGCAGCCGCGGUAAUACGUAGGGCGCAAGCGUUGUCCGGAAUUAUUGGGCGUAAAGAGCUCGUAGGUGGCUGGUCGCGUCUGCCGUGAAAGCCCGCAGCUUAACUGCGGGUCUGCGGUGGAUACGGGCCGGCUAGAGGUAGGUAGGGGCAAGUGGAAUUCCUGGUGUAGCGGUGAAAUGCGCAGAUAUCAGGAGGAACACCGGUGGCGAAGGCGGCUUGCUGGGCCUUACCUGACGCUGAGGAGCGAAAGCGUGGGGAGCGAACAGGAUUAGAUACCCUGGUAGUCCACGCUGUAAACGUUGG